rnacentral:rRNA from 1 species
AUGAAAAGAGCGCCAUUUGCCAGGCUUGUCGAGACCUUCAGGAGCAGGGGGCUGCUACAAGAUAGCAUCAACACCAGUGUCGAAGAGCAAGUGCCCAUGUUCCUCCAUGUUGUUGGCCAUAACCAGAGGUUCAGGGUCAUUCACAACACGUUCAGGAGAUCAAUGGAGACCAUCUCUAGGUACUUUAAGCAGGUGUUUUUUGCUAUUGGGGAGCUUAGAGGAGAGAUGAUCAGGAGACCAUCUGGUCAGACUCCACCCAAGAUUCGUGGAAGCCCAAGAUGGUAUCCAUACUUCAAGGAUUGCAUUGGGGCAAUAGAUGGUACUCAUGUCACUGCCAGAGUUCCUAGGUCACAGUCUGCAGCAUACAGGGGGAGGAAGCACUACACAAGCCAGAAUGUGCUUGCUGCUGUGGACUUUGAUCUGAAGUUCACAUAUGUGUUGGCUGGCUGGGAGGGGUCAGCGCAUGAUGCUAACAUUCUCAGUGACAGCAUGAGUCGACCUGAUGGGAUCAACAUCCCUGACGGCAAGUUCUACCUUGGAGAUGUUGGCUAUGCAUGUCGGCCGGGUAUUCUUACACCCUUCAGGAAAACCAGGUACCAUCUCAACGAGUUCUCUGGUAGGAACUACCCUAGGACUGCACAGGAGCUGUUUAAUCUCAGACACUCCAGCCUUAGAGUAACUGUUGAGAGGGCAUUUGGAGCUCUGAAGAAUAGGUUUAAGAUCCUGGAUCAGAAGCCAUUCCACCCAUACUCCACUCAGAUUAAGCUAGUUCUUGCUUGUUGCAUUCUGCAUAACUGGAUCCUCCAGUGGGGCUUUGAUGAACACGUGCCUGAGGAGGAAGAGGUUGAGCCUGACGAUUGUUAUCUCUAG